rnacentral:rRNA from 1 species
UACGGGGGGGGGCAAGCGUUGUUCGGAAUUACUGGGCGUAAAGGGCUCGUAGGCGGCCAACUAAGUCGGAUGUGAAAUCCCCAGGCUCAACCUGGGAACUGCAUCCGAUACUGGAUGGCUUGAAUCCGGGAGAGGGAUGCAGAAUUCCAGGUGUAGCGGUGAAAUGCGUAGAUAUCUGGAGGAAUACCGGGUGGCGACGGCGGCAUCCUGGACCCGGCAUUGACGCUGAGGAGCGAAAGCUAGGGGAGCAAACGGGG